GACGAACGCUGGCGGCGUGCCUAAUACAUGCAAGUAGACGCUGAAGGAGGAGCUUGCUUCUCUGGAUGAGUUGCGAACGGGUGAGUAACGCGUAGGUAACCUGCCUGGUAGCGGGGGAUAACUAUUGGAAACGAUAGCUAAUACCGCAUAAGAGUAGAUGUUGCAUGACAUUUGCUUAAAAGGUGCAAUUGCAUCACUACCAGAUGGACCUGCGUUGUAUUAGCUAGUUGGUGAGGUAACGGCUCACCAAGGCAACGAUACAUAGCCGACCUGAGAGGGUGAUCGGCCACACUGGGACUGAGACACGGCCCAGACUCCUACGGGAGGCAGCAGUAGGGAAUCUUCGGCAAUGGACGGAAGUCUGACCGAGCAACGCCGCGUGAGUGAAGAAGGUUUUCGGAUCGUAAAGCUCUGUUGUAAGAGAAGAACGAGUGUGAGAG
rnacentral:rRNA from 1 species